UGGGGAAUAUUGCACAAUGGGCGCAAGCCUGAUGCAGCCAUGCCGCGUGUAUGAAGAAGGCCUUCGGGUUGUAAAGUACUUUCAGCGGGGAGGAAGGGAGUAAAGUUAAUACCUUUGCUCAUUGACGUUACCCGCAGAAGAAGCACCGGCUAACUCCGUGCCAGCAGCCGCGGUAAUACGGAGGGUGCAAGCGUUAAUCGGAAUUACUGGCCGUAAAGCGCACGCAGGCGGUUUGUUAAGUCAGAUGUGAAAUCCCCGGGCUCAACCUGGGAACUGCAUCUGAUACUGGCAAGCUUGAGUCUCGUAGAGGGGGGUAGAAUUCCAGGUGUAGCGGUGAAAUGCGUAGAGAUCUGGAGGAAUACCGGUGGCGAAGGCGGCCCCCUGGACGAAGACUGACGCUCAGGUGCGAAAGCGUGGGGAGCAAACAGG
rnacentral:rRNA from 1 species